rnacentral:rRNA from 1 species
UACGAGGGGGGGCAAGCGUUGUUCGGAAUUAUUGGGCGUAAAGGGUGCGUAGGCGGGUCUUUAAGUCAGAGGUGAAAUCCUGGAGCUCAACUCCAGAACUGCCUUUGAUACUGAGGAUCUUGAGUUCGGGAGAGGUGAGUGGAACUGCGAGUGUAGAGGUGAAAUUCGUAGAUAUUCGCAAGAACACCAGUGGCGAAGGCGGCUCACUGGCCCGAUACUGACGCUGAGGCACGAAAGCGUGGGGAGCAAACAGG